rnacentral:rRNA from 1 species
AAGAUUAAGCCAUGCAUGUCUAAGUAUAACACCUUUAUACAGUGAAACUGCGAAUGGCUCAUUAAAUCAGUUAUAGUUUAUUUGAUAGUUCCUUUACUACAUGGUAUAACUGUGGUAAUUCUAGAGCUAAUACAUGCUUAAAAUCUCGACCCUUUGGAAGAGAUGUAUUUAUUAGAUAAAAUACAAUGUCUUCGGACUCUUUGAUGAUUCAUAAUAACUUUUCGAAUCGCAU